ensembl:miRNA MIR9799 microRNA mir-9799
UAGAGUCAAAGUUCUGCGGGGUGGGGGAUGGGUCAAGACAUUUUGUGGGUUGGUUCUCAUUGCUUUGAUCGUCUGGCUGUGAUACUU